CCCUUAGAUGUUCUGGGCCGCACGCGCGCUACACCGAUGCAUUCAACGAGUGUACCUUGGCCGAGAGGCCUGGGCAAUCUUUUGAACGUGCAUCGUGAUAGGGAUAGAUUAUUGCAAUUAUUAAUCUUGAACGAGGAAUUCCUAGUAAACGCAGUUCAUCAAACUGCAUUGAUUACGUCCCUGCCCUUUGUACACACCGCCCGUCGCACCUACCGAUUGGAUGGUCCGGUGAAGCCUCGGGAUUGUGGCGGUUGCCUUUAUUGGUGGCCGCCGCGAGAACUUGUCUAAACCUUAUCAUCUAGAGGAAGGUGAAGUCGUAACA
rnacentral:rRNA from 1 species